CCUUUUAAAGAAAUCAUAAAGAAAUAACAUAGAAAUUCAAAAAUAUACUAAAAUAAAAAUCUUAUUAAAAUUUUAAAAUAAAAACCUUAAUUAAAUCCUAAUCAAAUCCUAAUCAAAUCCUAAAUAAAUCAUAAUCAAAUCUUAACAAAUCCUAAUGAAAUCCUAAUGAAAUCCUAAACAAACCUUAACCAAAUCUUUGUCAAAUCCUAAACAAAUCUUAACCAAAUCCUAGUCAAAUCCUAACAAAUCUUAACCAAAUCCUAAUUAAAUCCUAAAUAAAUUCUAGUCAAAUCCUAAACAAAUCCUUAUCAUACCUCAA
rnacentral:lncRNA from 1 species